rfam:Asian citrus Psyllid, Diaphorina citri - Florida Strain, whole genome shotgun sequence.
ACUAGCGGCGAUAGCACGUUGAAUAUACAUAUGCGUAGACCAGUACCCAAUGGAUCACUGAAGUUAAACAACGUUGCGCAUGGUUAGUAUCCGGAUGGGUAGUCGCGUGCUGCUGACU